CAGGACGAACGCUGGCGGCGUGCCUAAUACAUGCAAGUCGAACGGUCUUUCUAUGGAAGCUUGCUUCCACUGAGAAGAUAGUGGCGAACGGGUGAGUAACACGUGGGUAACCUGCCCAUAAGAGGGGGAUAACAUCCGGAAACGGGUGCUAAUACCGCAUAGUUUCUUGAUCGCAUGAUUGAGAAAGGAAAGACGGCCUUUGUGCUGUCGCUUAUGGAUGGACCCGCGGCGUAUUAGUUAGUUGGUGAGGUAACGGCUCACCAAGACGAUGAUACGUAGCCGACCUGAGAGGGUGAUCGGCCACAUUGGGACUGAGACACGGCCCAAACUCCUACGGGAGGCAGCAGUAGGGAAUCUUCCGCAAUGGACGAAAGUCUGACGGAGCAACGCCGCGUGAGUGAAAGAAGGUUUUCGGAUCGUAAAACUCUGUUGUCAGAGAAGAACAAGUUGGAGAGUAACUGCUCCAGCCUUGACGGUAUCUGACCAGAAAGCCACGGCUAACUACGUGCCAGCCGCGGC
rnacentral:rRNA from 1 species